rnacentral:snoRNA from 1 species
GCUGUCCUAGAUCUGUCAACACCACAGGCACAGCACAGUUGCUCAGCUGUGCCUAUGACAUGGGGGGUGGGGGGAAGCAAGCGGCUAUUUCUACCCUCAACGUUCAGAAGCCAGUGAGCAGUAAGAAUGGGUUAUAGCACAUUU